GCAAAACGUUAAAAAAUCAUGCUGAAUCCAAACGUUCAUAUUAACUCAAUCAUUAACAAUAGUUCCCACUCCUCACAAGAUUCAUCAAUGAAUACAUCCUCUCUUUACUCCCUUUCUCUCAGUCUUCAACUAUAAAAAGAUAUGACAGUGCAAAAGCUGCUGAAAUAUUAGCCAAAGAUCUGUUAAUUUUGGCGUUUAAAGAAUAACUUUACAGAGAGAUGAGAUCAUUCAAUUUCUGACUCGAGAUUAACUUUACCUUAGGGGAAGGUCACCGGCAUCACGAUGGACAAACGGUGGUGUUACGUCUCUUGCUCCAGGUGUACGAAGAAGCUUCAACGAACUGUCUCAGCCUUUACUUGCUUGACCUGCAACAACUCUAAUGAUGUUGGUGUCCUCCCACUAUUUCAGUAUUUUUUUAUUUUCAUUCAAAUGCACUUCAUGUCCACACACACAAAGAUACAACUUACUUUGAUACACUUUAUCUGACUUC